GGAGCCUGGAAGGGGGACCGAAUGAAGACCCAGCCCUGUGCCCUGUGGGGACAUCAGUCAGCCUCUGUAGGCCCGCUGAACCGUGAGUCAUGGGUGCACAGCCCUCGCCAAGAACAAGUUAUGGGAUCGUCUCUGCAAGCUCUGAGCCCUUCCCAGCCCGCACUCCCACCACGAGUUCAGCGACGGAGCAGCGCAGAAGAGAAACCCUCCACUUCUCCCUUCUCUGGUUUCCCCAGAGUUCUGCUACUUACCUGGAGAGCCUGGUGGCUUGUGCUGGCUGCUACACCUCUGAACCUGCACAGUCCCAACCCCAGUAAGGGAAGCGUCUCAGGCAGGCACCAUUCUUCAAGGCCGGUCUCCGUCCCUCCGACCACCAAGCUCCCCUCCACUGCGUCCUAGCUGCCACUACAACUUGGGUUUUAUUUACCGCACGUGUUGUUCAGUAUCCCUUUUUUCAGCCCUAAACUUGCCUAGGGUUGUGCCAUGCAGGGAGCAGAAGCAGAAUCAAGAGGUGACCCACACACUCAAGCUUGAUCUCCAACUUGAGAUCAUUCCUGGAGCUCCUCGCCCUCUGUGCCGUACCCAGUGGCCCCUUCCUCUGUUUUCUCUUGCUUAGGCUUGAGUGGCCGGUCACUGCCCAUUCUGCCCAGCUCCUCUCUGGUUCUCAGCUCGGAUCUCUGCCCCGUUCCAUUCUCCCAACUCAGCAAAUUCCUAGAGAAACAGCGAGUGAGACUUGGGCACAGGCUGGGCAGAGGCUUGGCUGAACACCAGGACAUUCAGCUUGGGAAAGUAGUGGGGGACGUGUGGAGAUAAGGAAGGAAAAAUGGAAGCUCAGGGGGUUGUAACAGAGGUAACCAAGCAGCUAGAGGCAGCAACUGAUGUUUAGCCAAGUACUUCCCUAACAAGGCACUGAUAGGACUUCAGCCACUGGACGACUGACAGUCUGAGGAAAGCCACCUCCCACUAGCGCACUGAGCACCGAGCUAACUCUACUCCACGGCAACUGUAUCCUUAAGGUGUGCACACACCUUAGCCCAGUCAGACAAUGGUGAAGGGACUGGAAGGGGCCCA
rnacentral:lncRNA from 1 species